rnacentral:rRNA from 1 species
UACGGAGGGUGCGAGCGUUGUCCGGAAUCACUGGGCGUAAAGGGCGCGUAGGCGGCCUGAUAAGUAGGGGGUGAAAUCCUGCGGCUUAACCGCAGGGCUGCCUUCUAAACUGUCAGGCUAGAGCACAGUAGAGGCAGGUGGAAUUCCUGGUGUAGCGGUGGAAUGCGCAGAUAUCAGGAGGAACACCAAUGGCGAAGGCAGAUCUCUGGCCGUAACUGACGCUGAGGAGCGAAAGCAUGGGAGCGAACAGG